CUUCCAGUAGCACCUUAGAGACCAACUAAGUUUGUUAUUGGUAUGAGCUUUUGUGUGCAUGCACAUGCAUACAAAAGGUCAUAACAAUAACAAACUUAGUUGGUCUCUAAGGUGCUAAUGGAAG